rnacentral:rRNA from 1 species
UACGAAGGGGGGCUAGCGUUGUUCGGAAUUACUGGGCGUAAAGCGCACGUAGGCGGAUCUUUAAGUCAGGGGGUGAAAUCCCGAGGCUCAACCUCGGAACUGCCUUUGAUACUGGGGAUAUCGAGUCCGGGAGAGGUGAGUGGAACUGCGAGUGUAGAGGUGAAAUUCGUAGAUAUUCGCAAGAACACCAGUGGCGAAGGCGGCUCACUGGCCCGGUACUGACGCUGAGGUGCGAAAGCGUGGGGAGCAAACAGG